CUGGCUCAGGACGAACGCUGGCGGCGUGCCUAAUACAUGCAAGUCGAGCGAACAGAAGGGAGCUUGCUCCCGGAUGUUAGCGGCGGACGGGUGAGUAACACGUGGGUAACCUGCCUGUAAGACUGGGAUAACUCCGGGAAACCGGAGCUAAUACCGGAUAGUUCCUUGAACCGCAUGGUUCAAGGAUGAAAGACGGUUUCGGCUGUCACUUACAGAUGGACCCGCGGCGCAUUAGCUAGUUGGUGGGGUAAUGGCUCACCAAGGCGACGAUGCGUAGCCGACCUGAGAGGGUGAUCGGCCACACUGGGACUGAGACACGGCCCAGACUCCUACGGGAGGCAGCAGUAGGGAAUCUUCCGCAAUGGACGAAAGUCUGACGGAGCAACGCCGCGUGAGUGAUGAAGGUUUUCGGAUCGUAAAGCUCUGUUGUUAGGGAAGAACAAGUGCGAGAGUAACUGCUCGCACCUUGACGGUACCUAACCAGAAAGCCACGGCUAACUAAC
rnacentral:rRNA from 1 species